rnacentral:tRNA from 1 species
GAGCUGAACCCAAGACGACUUCGUUCGCAUCGAGGGGGUCAGGGGUUCGAAUCCCCUCAGCUCCA